rnacentral:lncRNA from 1 species
CAUUUACCUUCUGCAGCUAAAAUUGUAGCCAGCUGAAUGUACCGCCCGCUGUGAUCUGAAUCGACUUCCACCAGGUGAGCUCCGACUUGGCUACCCAGCAGAAAAUCUCUAUGAAUCCAACAGGCCUGAACGAGGAGGAAUGAAUGGUAAGCUUAUGUAGAUCAUCAACUUUUCUCUUUCAUUGAAAACAUGAUUUAGUGCAUUCUAUUUAAGAAGUCGCACUUUAUUUACUUACAUUUUAAUAUCUUAACUAUACUCUUUCGGUUUAUGGCUGUUAAAUUUGGGUUACCGUAAGCCUAUUAUCUAGCAUGAUACUCAUUACUCAGUGAGUGUUCACUAAAAUUUAAGAGAAUAAGGUCACUGGAUUGAUGAAAAAAAAAAAUAGUCUCUCUUCUAAAUUUCUAAGAAAAGUCUUUAAUGAAGUUGGCAGAAAUUCAACCUUUUUCUUCUAGAUGAAGAUUUUUUCUCUCCUAUGUGCAAAUUCCUAGCAACUCACUGAUUUUCCCAUGAUUUAGAAAAGUAGGCAUAUAAAAUUUCCCCCUACCUUUAGCAAAGCUCCCCAAAUUACAGCACUAGGUUUCAUGGGCAUCUUCUUGAUCAACUCUUUCGCUUCAUCCAGCCGCCCAGAUCGACCCAAAAGAUCAACCAUACAUCCAUAAUGCUCAAUAGAUGGAUUCACGUUGUAGAAACAUUUCAUGCUCUUGAAUAACUCUUUUCCUUCUUCAACUAGUCCUCCAUAGCUACAAGCCCUUAGAACUGCAGUGAAA